ACGCUGCGGCGCGCCUAACACAUGCAAGUCGAACGAGAGAUGAAGAGCUUGCUCUUCAAAUCGAGUGGCGAACGGGUGAGUAACGCGUGGGUAACCUGCCUCAUACAGGGGGAUAGCAGCUGGAAACGGCUGGUAAUACCGCAUAAGCGCACGGUAUCGCAUGAUACAGUGUGAAAAACUCCGGUGGUAUGAGAUGGACCCGCGUCUGAUUAGCUGGUUGGUGAGGUAACGGCCCACCAAGGCGACGAUCAGUAGCCGACCUGAGAGGGUGACCGGCCACAUUGGGACUGAGACACGGCCCAGACUCCUACGGGAGGCAGCAGUGGGGAAUAUUGCACAAUGGAGGAAACUCUGAUGCAGCGACGCCGCGUGAGUGAAGAAGUAGUUCGCUAUGUAAAGCUCUAUCAGCAGGGAAGAUAGUGACGGUACCUGACUAAGAAGCUCCGGCUAAAUACGUG
rnacentral:rRNA from 1 species